rnacentral:rRNA from 1 species
GUGCCAGCAGCCGCGGUAAUACGGGGGGUGCAAGCGUUACUCGGAAUCACUGGGCGUAAAGGACGCGUAGGCGGAUUAUCAAGUCUUUUGUGAAAUCUAGUGGCUUAACCACUAAACUGCUUAGGAAACUGAUAGUCUAGAGUAGGGGAGAGGUAGAUGGAAUUCUUGGUGUAGGGGUAAAAUCCGUAGAGAUCAAGAAGAAUACCCAUUGCGAAAGCGAUCUGCUGGAACCUAACUGACGCUGAGGCGUGAAAGCGUGGGUAGCAAACAGGAUUAGAUACCCUUGUAGUCC